AUGUGGCUGAACUGUUUCCAGGAAAAACCUGCAGAAAGGAGCUUCCUGUUUCCUCACAGCUCAGACAUGAAGCCCACCCUCAUCUCAGUGCUUGUGAUGAUAGUCACACUCAGAGGAACAAGAGCCCAGACAGUGACUCAGCCUGAGGACCACAUCUCCGUCUUUGAAGGGUCCCCAGUGCAGGUGAAGUGCAACUACUCAUAUUCUGGGAGUCCUGUGCUCUUCUGGUAUGUACACUACCCCAAACAACACCUCCAGUUACUCCUGAGACACACCUCAAGAGAGAGUAUCAGAGGUUUCACGGCUGACCUCAACAAGGGUGAGGCAUCCUUCCACCUGAAAAAACUAUCAGCUCAAGAGGAAGACUCAGCGGUGUAUUACUGUGCUGUGAGGGACACAGUAACUGGUUUUACAAAGGAAGCAGAGCACAAACCCCUUAAGAGUUACUGA